GGAAACAAAGCUGCCUAUACUUCGUUCCAUACAUAGCAGUCAACGAUGUUGCAGCUACGCAAGAAGUUCGGUCAAGAAAAGUUACCACUCCGCGCUUUCCGUCUAUGCUGCGCUGCGCGCCAACAGCGGUCGCUCGCGCGAGCAUGCCCGUGAGGCUCCUCGUGACGGGUUGCAAAUAAAUAACCCGAAAAGAACAACAAAAUUAAAAAUGAUCUAGAACAACGCACUAGCAGCCGUAUACUGCA
rnacentral:lncRNA from 1 species